rnacentral:tRNA from 1 species
GUAAAUAUAGUUUAUAAUAAAACCCCAGACUGUGAAUCUGGAAAUAGGGAAUAAAACCCCUUACUUACC